rnacentral:lncRNA from 1 species
CUGGGGCGUGGGCGUUGGCGGCGUCUGCGGCGCCCGGGGCCUGAGGCGGCGUAGUCGCCUCAGGCUUCGCCAGGGGAGCGCCUCGGGGCCGGUGAGCCGCCGGACGUUCUGGCCCCGCCAUCGACGGGGACCGUGGCGCGGCCGGAGCGGUCCCUGAGGGCCGAGGGGAGGGUUUCUCGGGUCCCCACGAGCGCCGGGCCUGGCACGGCCCUGGCGGCCUGUGUGGGGCCGCGGGCCCUCAGGAGGGAGGGAUGCGACCUGCUCCUGCCUGGAAAAUCUCAAGCCCCCAGGUUUUCAGUGCGCGCCUGAGGUGGCAGUUUAUAUAAAGGAAGCACUGGGACCUGUGGCCACACCCUUCAAGAAUAAAAAA